UUACGUACGUAUAUGUUUGCAAUACAUGUAUUUACAUAUAUAUUACGUAAGCGGGAAGAAUUAAUUAAGGUCGAGGUCCGAGCUUUUUAAACAAAUUAUAUUCGUAUCUCUUUUCACAGUCCACGGCACGCAUUAGCGGUCGUUGUAUAAAUAUUCCUAAAGAUUCGUAUUUUAGAGCAUUUUCUAUUAUAUGUAUGCGUUAUGUUCUUGUCAUUUUACCUUCCUCGCCGUUAUAUAUCAGGAUGUAAAUUAUCAUUUUAGGAAAUUUUGCAUUUUCUCUCUUUCUCUUUCUCUUUCCAUUUCUCCAUUUUCUUCUAUCCACCUAUUCCUAUUUCUCUCUCUCUCACUUUCUAUGUCCAUGUCUACCUCAUAGAGAUGAAUAAAACGCUGGAGCGGCAAAUUAACUUGUAAUUUCGUACUAAUAAUAUUAUAGUACUGACAUAGAGAGUAAGAAAGCUAUAACGAAAUGACAUAUUUGAAUUUCUUUCGAUCUGCACGAUUUUUACCUUUGUCUCUGUCAACCAAUUAAUUUCUUCUCUUUUUUUCUCUCUCUCUCUCUCUAUUAAGACCCGAGAAAACUUCAUGUCCCUUUCACCACGUUUUUACUCUCGUUGUAUAAAAAGAAUUUAAUGGACUAUUUUCCUCUUCUUAUUUUCCAUUGAAUUUUUAUUUCUCCAUAUGUCUGUUUCUCUCUCUCUCUCUCUCUCUCUCUCUCUCUCUCUAUUUCCCCCCUCCCUCAUCUAUUCUUCCGUUUUCAAAAAGACCAUUCCUCUUCCGCACGUGACUUUUCUCUCUAUCUUUUUAACUCCAUUAUUGUCAUCAUCGUUUUACCUAUCGAUUUUAUUCAUUCUGUCUCGAGUGUUGCUUGUGCCGGUUUAAGAUCUACAAACCGCGACCCUUUCACACUUCACCAAAGGGAAAUCCAAGUACGGUCGUUACGAGGCGAAUAAAUAAAUUAUUCAGGAGCAUGAAUAGGUGUAGAAAAAUGACGUUAUGGAAGAGAAGAAAUAAGAAUUAGAGGAGAAGAGUGGUGGUUACGGGGUUGUUCCAUGAAUUUCGUUACGCCUGACAGGGUGCCAAUUGGAACCGGGCCAAGUAGUCAAAUGUUUCGCAGCACUUAAACCAGAGAAAUGCAACAGAUGCAUCCACUUGUUACGUUGCGUUGCUAUAACCGUCUGCUCUAUCCAGCUACUACCUUCUUUUACAGUUUUCAUCGUAAUUUGCCGGUUCCCUUCAAUGCCGGAUCUAGGUCUUAUCGUGUCCCUUUUCUUUAUUUUCUUCGUUUCACGACUCGCUUACUCGUGCAAUACGCGCUACGGAUUCGACCGAGUUAGACGAAUAUUAGUUAUCGAAAAUCGAUCGGGUGCAACCCGUUGGACGAGGAAUAAUCUUAAUAUCGUAAAUCUCUCGUCGUUAGAUCGAGCACGAGUCGUGUUAUUUUCAUGUCGGGAAGGAAGAUGUGCGCCAUUUUUGCACAAUUGUAAAAAAAGUUGAUUACUUUUAGUAGUCGCUUUUUCUUUUCUUUUCUUUUUUUUUUUUUUUUUUAAUUUUUAACCAGAGGCCAUCUUCGACCCGACAAAAGUGUAAAUUCUUUUAUAUAUUUUGGAGAUUACUACGUUACGCGAGAAGGUAAAGAUUUUCUCUCGAUAUAUCGAUACAUAGUGAUAGGGUUGAUCGUAAACUAAUAAAAGUCCCCUUUUUUCUUUUAACUAAGAUCUUAACGUGAUUUCAAGGCGAAGUUACGACUCUCGACAGAUUUCCGAUAUAUUAUCAGACAUAUUUAUCUUGUUCCGAAUGUUCUAUUAGAAAAAGUGACUUUUUAUUUGCGAUAAAUAAAAAGCGAAUGUUAAGAAAUAUGAAAGAGAUGUGAAAAUAUAGAUUUUAUUUCGAAAGAUAAUUCAUUAUUUCUUUGUGGAGAGAAAAGUGAGACGUGAUCAUUUUUACAAGUUCACCAUAACGAAUACGUAUCUGUCAGUUUUCUUGGAAGUUCUUCUUAAAGUUUAUACUUUUACUUCAAAAGUAUAUAUUGUGUCCACGUUGAAGAUAAAAUCCUUUCACACUGAAGCUCGCUUUUAUUCCCAACGAGAUAUAGAUAUCGUAAGGAUCGUUUGCGGGGGAAAAAGUAAUUAGUAGGUAAGAGGUUCUACGUAAUAAGGAUGAAGAAAAUUAGAUAAAAGAAUGCUCUCUUUAAACUGGACUCUCUUGUCGUCGUUGUCGUCGUCGUUUAUCAAUUUUAAUUUCAACAAUUUUUCCUUGAAAAUAAUGCAAAACGAAAGAAGAAGAAGAAGAAGAAAAAAAAGGGGAAAAAAAUCAAAUCGAUUUUUGAACGGAAGAAUUUUCUUUCUCUUUUUUCUUUUUUUUGCUUUUUUUUUUUUCUUUUUCUUUUUCGUUAGAAAAACUUUCUAUGACAGUCUUCAAAGGGGAAGGGUAGAAAACGAAAAAGUGAGGAGGGAAAAAGUGAGCCGAGGGAAAAGAGACAGACGUUUCGUUAUUGUUCAAGAAAACUCCUAUGAAAAUUCUGGAAGAAUAAUGGAAGAAAGAGGAACACGAUCGAGAAAGUAUUUUUAACGGGGAAGAGAAUAGAGAAAUGAUACGAAUGAAUUAUAAAACAGAGUUUCUUUAGUUACAGAGACACGAAUGAAAUGAUAACAAGGGGUCUCGUAGUUUUUCGCGAGAAGGAAAACAAGAACGAUAGUGGUAAACUAUGUUUACCUAUAUCACCUUCGGUGAUAUCGAUCUACUCUCCCUCUCUCUCUCUCUCUCUCUCACUCUAUCGUUCUCUCACUCGGUCUUUGCCUCUCUAUACUCACAGACGUAGUCUCACACACUGUUUGACAUUGGAAGGUAACGAACGUUCAAAGAACGUAGUAAACAAAACUUUCUCGCUUAUCUUCUUUUUCUUUAUUUAUUUUUCUUUUUUUUUCUUUUUUUUUUUCUUCUUUUACCGCCGUAAUCUCUAGCCGUAUCUACGUAUAUCUCCCCUCAUUUAACUUUAAUACGCCAACGAGUCAAGUGUACCCAUCGUUGAAAUAAUUCCGCUAUAUUUCGAAAUUAUUACGCAUUAGUUAUUACGUCGAUUCUCAUAUAAUCUGAUAUUGGCAAAACAAUCAAGAGAAAAUAUUCAAGCGAGCCGACAGACGACGACAAGUUUAGUACAUAUAUAAAUAUCUUGCGAAGUCGAAAGCUAUAUAAUUUAUUACUAGAUCUGCGAUUGAAACGAAUAAUUGACGAAGGUUUAAGGAAUACUAUAAAUCCGUCGUAAACGUUGUAAAUUCUUCACGUUUCCUUGGAGCAAGAUGGAUUGUAGCUUGUAGAUAUAUAAAUAUGUAUAUCUAUAUAUAUAUAUAUAUAUAUAUAUAUAUAUAUGUGUGUGUGUGUGUGUGUGUGGCAAUGUAAAAGUAAAGUAUCCAAGGCACGAGAUAACAAAAUGUAGGAUCUCGAGAAAAGUUAAGUUAGUAUCUGGCUAUGAGAAAAGAUCCGAAAGUAAAGCAGUCCAAUCGAAUUCGUACGACUUGAAAAGUUCACGAAAGGAUAUCGAGCCGCGUCGAUGUCGAAUCAGGUGUUCCACGAUAUUUUUCUCGGAGUUUGAACUUUUUUAACGCGAAAUGGAGCACGAAGAAACGAUCGGCAAUGUUUUCCAUUUUGUUUCACCCUUUUAUAAGUUUCCUAACGUAAGAGUUAAACCAUUUGGUAAGCUUUCACGAAGCUUCGUUAUUUUCUUAUAUCUCCUAUAUAAAUAUGUUUCUUUAUCGUCGUUCGUAAUGUUUUCUUCGAUAACGUUUACAAAAUAGUUAAUACGAAAUGUAAUGAAAAGUAUUAAUGUAGAAAAUGUACUGUGAAAACAAAUUUUAUGAAUAACGUACAAGUAUUUUAUAUGUGUUUACGAAAGAAGUUAAGCGAAUUAAAGAGAAAGAGAGAGGGAGAAGCAAGACGAGAAAUAGGUAGGUAGGUAAUACAUGUGUGUGUUUUCUCGAGGAACAAACCCUUCUGGGAUACGGAUAGAUAUAUAUAUAUAUAUAUAUAUAUACGAUAGGUAUUUAGUCUCGGAGCGUGGACACCGUUAACAUUGGAACAUUGUAUCGAGCUUUCAUUGCAAAUAUUGGUUUUGAGGUUACUCGCGGUAGGAUAGUUUACGUUCGCUUGUAAAAUGCUGAUGCACGGUGGUUACGUUCGGUGUUAACGUCGCUCAACGACUUUAAUCCGAUCGAAAGUCGAAUGAAAAUCCGAAGGACAUUUGCGUGACAUUCGUGGGAUAUUCGUGGUAAGAUCCUCGAUAAAAAAAAAAAAAAAAAAAGAAAAAAGAGGGGAAAAGGAAGGAAGAACGAGGGAUGGAAAAAUGAAGGAAAAAGGAAUAGAGUUUCUCGCGAUCGUGUAAGCAAAUUUGUUUGAUAUCGUUCGAGAUUGAUCACCGACCUCGAGAGUUAUUUUAUAAUAAUCAAUAUCCAUCGCGAAACGAGCUUUUCUCCCUGAUCGAUCUCUCGAAGCUUAAAGCGGCAAAUCGUUUUAAGACGUCGCCGGGAGGACCCGAUUAAUUAAACGCUCAACCCCUCAUGGAAGGUCCGACCCCGAGGGCGUAGCUCUUAACCGUGACGUGACUCGUUCCUCUUACAACGUUCGGAUUUACGAUCGGCGGCAUUUAAUUUGUUUGUAUUCUCGUUUUCUCUCUCUCUCUCUCUCUCUCUCUCUCUCUCUCUUUCUCUAUCCCAUUCUAUCUCUAUCGCUUUUGCGUGCAAGAGAGCAACUCGUUUGACUCGGUUGCCACUUGGCGUCCGGCCGAGCGCGGAGAAUUCUCAUAAAAAGGAGUGCUCGAGAUGUUCCUCCUUACUUCCCGCUAACCUCGAGUUUGAACGUGCUCGAGAUGAUAGCGACUCGAAUUGAGAGGUAAUUACACUCGAAAGUAGCUAAUCGCGUGGUUCUCUUUUCAACGAGAAUAACUUCACUUCUUUUAUCUCUUAUUCUACCGAGUCGAAUCCUUACUCCAUGUUUUUUUCAUGUAUUGCGAUUUCUUUUCUUUUAUUUUUUUUUUUUUUUUUUUUUAAUUUUUUCACAAAAUUACAAAAAUAAGAAAAUACAUAGAAGAUAUAUAAUUGAAAUUUCUCCCACGCUAAUAACUACGCUCGUCUAGUCAAGCGUUACAACGGAAUUGUUACGUCUGGGAACAGCAUUAUCUCGACAUCGGUAAAUCUAUCCGCACGUAUACCUAUCACGGCUUGAAAUUCCAAUCGGGAUGUAUUUUGAUGACGUAUAAUUUAUCAGAUGAUUCGUUAUUAACGUUCGCUUUAUAUAAUUCAUAAUAAUAUCAUUGAUUUUGAAGAAUUUACGAGGGUGAGUGCUUGGACGAGAGAAACUGGCAGGACGAAUGAGAAAGAAAGAGAGAGAGAGAGAGAGAGAAAGAAAGAGAGAAAGAAAGAGAGAUAUCGUGUUAAAUUCGCAUGAAACUAAAAGCAAAGAGCUUAGGUGGUCACAUCGUGUCGGGUAGGAUUAUCACGAGAAGAAGAGAGAGAGAGAGAGAGAGAGAGAAUGUAUGUGUUAUCAUUGUGCACUGUGGUCAACCAGUAAGAGAUAACCUCCCAAUCAGUUUGAACAGUUGAUCACAGGAAACUUUGCCAUUAGCUGUAUAGGUAUCACAUAUAUAUAUAUAUAUAUAUAUAUAUAUAUAUAUAUAUAUAUAUAUA